AAAAAGAAAAAGACAGGCUAUAUUUAAAAAAAAAUACCCUAAUAGAAAACUGUCAAAUGUAUGAAAUAUUUAAUAAAUUGUAUUAUAAAAUACAUGAUAUUAUGCCUUUUUAGUAUAACCAAUUCAAAUCUUUAAUCUUUCUAAAUGUAACGUGAUGAAAACGCUAUAAAAGCACUACACUAAAGGGAAACAUAGGGGGAACGGAGUUCGACACAACACCGGUAACUUUAAACCACGCCGGGUGUUGAAAAGGUGGCCAGUUUCAGAUGCAUUGAUGUGUAGUGAUGCAGUGGACAACUGUGAGGAUGAUACAAUCAACAUGUUCCUAAACUGUGAUGCAGAAACACAAUGGGAGGAUCCAUCCGUCUCUGACCACAACUACACUUUAAAAUCACAACUUAACCUGAAGCAACCUACAUCUGAUAUGGGAAAACAAUGGUGCGGUUUCCCUGACAGGGCUUAUCCUGGUCCCAGGCUAAAAUGCAUAUUUGAGCUACAAUAAUUUAAAAACACCUUUUACUGACAUACCUCAACAUAUAUGAGUGCCAUUGUUUUGUCACAAGAUGCGCACCAGUCUUGUUUUUUUGUAGGGUUUGUUUGUAAAAACUAAAAUGUCCUAAUAUAAUUAAAUCCUAGUCCUGUAAACCCUGUCCGAGAAACUGCUUCAAUGUGUUGAGCUGGCACAAAUGUACAUAUCUCUGCUGAGAAACAACCAUCUUUGGUUCAGCUUUACACAGGGUUGAUAUUGCAUCCAUUACACAGUCGCCAAGCACUUUACCAGUACAUACACCAACAGCUUCCAGAUAAACACUUGGGAUCAGCUCCUGAUGACUCCGAUAAAGCUGUGUCUUAAUUUAUUGCAGGGUGGUCUUGCUUUACCUGUUGUAAAGUUACAUUAAACCUUCAUAUGUGAUCAGAUGUCAUGCAGUGAUAUUAAACAUUUACAGUGUGAUCAGAUGUUGUGCAAUUAUAUUAAACCUUUACAAUGUGA